rnacentral:rRNA from 1 species
CAGUAGCCGCGGGAAUACGUAAGGUGCAAGCGUUAAUCGGAAUUACUGGGCGUAAAGCGUGCGCAGGCGGUUCUAUAAGACAGAUGUGAAAUCCCCGGGCUCAACCUGGGAACUGCAUUUGUGACUGUAGAGCUGGAGUGCGGCAGAGGGGGAUGGAAUUCCGCGUGUAGCAGUGAAAUGCGUAGAUAUGCGGAGGAACACCGAUGGCGAAGGCAAUCCCCUGGGCCGACACUGACACUGAGAGACGAAAGCUAGGGGAGCAAAUGGGAUUAGAUACCCGGGUAGUCCCUGUCUCUUAUAC